AAAAAAGCGGGGGCCUUUGUGAUUGGGCCUCAUGUAAAAACAUCAGUGAAAUCAGAUUUACAUUGUUCUUGGGUGAACCUCUGUUUUUAGUUGAUUGUGGCUGAAGGUUCAAUAAAUAAUGCUACAUUU